AUUGAACGCUGGCGGCAUGCUUUACACAUGCAAGUCGAACGGCAGCGCGGGCUUCGGCCUGGCGGCGAGUGGCGAACGGGUGAGUAAUACAUCGGAACGUGCCCAGUAGUGGGGGAUAGCUCGGCGAAAGCCGGAUUAAUACCGCAUACGACCUGAGGGUGAAAGCGGGGGAUCUUCGGACCUCGCGCUCUUGGAGCGGCCGAUGGCAGAUUAGCUAGUUGGUGGGGUAAAGGCCUACCAAGGCGACGAUCUGUAGCUGGUCUGAGAGGACGACCAGCCACACUGGGACUGAGACACGGCCCAGACUCCUACGGGAGGCAGCAGUGGGGAAUUUUGGACAAGGGGCGAAAGCCUGAUCCAGCAAUGCCGCGUGUGUGAUGAAGGCCUUCGGGUUGUAAAGCACUUUUGGCGGGAACGAAAAGGACUGUGCCAAUACCACGGUUCGAUGACGGUACCCGCAGAAUAAGCACCGGCUAACUACGUG
rnacentral:rRNA from 1 species